CUCAAGACCUCUAGAACCCCAGCGCGGGCGCCUGCCCCUCUCCCAGUGCCCACCACGCCCAGCCUCGUGCCUGCUGCUCCACACUGUCGACUACGUAUGGUCCCUGCCCAGGUCCAGCUCCUCUGUCCGUCCUGUCCUCACUCCUGUUGUCAUCAAACUCCUACGACACUUUAAGACUUGGUGCAGGCACCACCUCCUCCAGGAAGCCUUCCCUAAGCCACCAUCCAGCUCAAAGACCCUUCCACGGCUCCCUGGUGCCUGUGGCAAGCCCAGCCUUCUUUGGCCUCUCCUCUACGGACCACCUUGCCAGCCUGUGCCCUCAGAACCUCCGAGCAGCGGCCUGGGCCCGGCCGCAGGAGGGUGACUCCCCACUCUGGUGAAGCAAUUAAGGACAUUUUCAAGUGCUGAGUGGCUGCCGGGAGGCAGCUUUGACCAGGCCCCGACAGAGGAGAGGAGGAAACAGAGGUUCAAUAACAUUUCAGAGAUGCAGCUGGGAUCGGAAGGUAGCUCUGAGUCCACAACCACUUCAUCUGUUGUCUCUUGGAGAUGGGUAUGGGCUGUCAGAGUGCCCAGGGUCACUGAGGAAGGCGGGCGGGUCAGGGGAAGACUCUGGAGAUGCCACAUGAGCUUGGGAUCUGCUGAAGAACACGGGCUCUCCACAUGCGGAGGGGGUGGGGGGCUGGUGGCAAAGGGUGUCGCAGGCGGAGGGGGCAGCCUGUGCACACGCACCGAGGUGUGAGACGGCAUGGUAUGUGUAUGGGAGCUACAGAUAGUUCAGGGUCACUGGAGCAUGAAGUUCGAGGCUGGGGAGGCAUGUGGGGUCUGGGUCACCGGAAGUCAGGAGGACCUGGUCCAAGCUCCUCAUUUUAUCACUAGAGAAUGCACAACCCAGAGGACAACAGUGACUUGCCUCGAGUCACAUGGCCCAGUUAGCGGCUGAUGGAGCCUGGGUUACAGCCCAGGAAUCCCGACGCCCAGGCUGGAAGGGAAGCUAGAGGGUAGAGGAGCGGAGGCUGUCAGAUUACUGGUUUCCUACUUCCCACCCUUGCCGGCUUACCUCUCCACUUGCCUCUGGCUGCAAUCUGUUCUCAACAUCGCAGCCAGAGGGAUCCUGCCGAACAGGAAUCAGCGGUGUGGUGCUCCUCUGCUCAAAGGUCUUUAACAGCUCCCACCUCAGAGUGAAAAAACAACAGCCUACAAAGCCCCCUUUGCCUCUCCGGUUAAAUUUAUCCAUGGUAUUUUAUUCUUUUUGAUGUAACUGCAUCCCCCUCCCCUCUCUGAACUCACCUCCUACUGCUUUUCCUCUUGCGUCUUACUCCACUCUGGCCCUCUGGCUAUUCUGGAGCCCAUCUCACCCCAGGGCCUUUGCACGUGCUGUUUCCGCUGCCUGAUUCAAAUCCUAGCUCAGCUACUACUUCACUAUGUCCCUCUCUGAGCCUCACAUCCCUCAUCUAUAAUUGGGGUUAAUGCUGCCCACCCCGCCUU